rnacentral:rRNA from 1 species
AUACGGAGGAUGCAAGCGUUAUCCGGAUUUAUUGGGUUUAAAGGGUGCGUAGGCGGUUUGCUAAGCGGGAGGUGAAAUGCCGGCGCUCAACGUCGGAAGUGCCUCCCGAACUGGUGGACUUGAAUGACUCUGCCGUGGGAGGAAUGGGUAGUGUAGCGGUGAAAUGCUUAGAGAUUACACAGAACACCGAUUGCGAAGGCAUCUCACGAAGGGUUGAUUGACGCUGAGGCACGAAAGCGUGGGGAUCAAACAGUAUUAGAUACCCUGGUAGUCCACGCAGUAAACGAUGAUGGCUAACCGCUGGGCUUAUCAGUUCAGUGGCCAAGCGAAAGCGAUAAGCCAUCCACCUGGGGAGUACGACCGCAAGGUUGAAACUCAAAGGAAUUGGCGGGG